rnacentral:rRNA from 1 species
CAAGUCGAACGGAAUUAACGCUGAGCGAGCUGCUCAAGUUCUUGUUAAAUUUAGUGGCGGACGGUGAGUAACGCGUGGUAACCUGCCUUACACUGGGGGACAACAGUUGGAAACGACUGCUAAUACCGCAUAAGCGCACAGAUCGCAUGAUUCAGUGUGAAAAACUCCGGUGGUGUAAGAUGGACCCCGCGUCUGAUUAGCUAGUUGGUGAGGUAACGGCCCACCAAGGCGACGAUCAGUAGCCGGCCUGAGAGGGUGAACGGCCACAUUGGGACUGAGACACGGCCCAAACUCCUACGGGAGGCAGCAGUAGGGAAUAUUGCACAAUGGGGGAAACCCUGAUGCAAGCAACGCCGCGUGAGUGAAGAAGUAUUUCGGUAUGUAAAGCUCUAUCAGCAGGGAAGAAAAUGACGGUACCUGACUAAGAAGCCCCGGCUAACUACGUGCCAGCAGCAGC